GCUCCCAUAGGAACUAUCGGGGAAAAAAUUAAAAAAUUAUAUAUUUAGUAUUUUUGAACCUCUUGCGCUUGGAAAUAACAUUUUUUAAGAUUUUAUCAAAAUCGGACUACUAUUCAUAUAGCUGCCAUAGGAACAAUCGGAAAAUCAGUCGUAAAAUAAUAUGAAAAAAUUAUAUCUUCAGGGUUUUUUAACAUAUAAUCUUGUAAGCUUUCGAAUUAAAUUGUAUCAAAAUCGGACGACUAUAGCUGUCAUAUGAACGAUCGGAAAAUUGGUGGGAAAAUAAUAUGAAAUAAAUUAUUGCUUUGUGGCUUUUCGACUUAUUAUCUUAUAAUAUUUCGAAUUCAAUUAAAUAAAAACCGGACAACUCAAACAAUAUAAGGAUGUCAAAAAAAUGGUCUAAAAAAAAGAAUGAAAUAAUUAUUUUUUAUUAACACUGAAGUCAGCAAUAAUCCUAAAAAUUUCACAUGGUGUUACUAAAGUUGAUUAUUUCUUAUAACUGCAAGGGUAUACAAACUUCGGCUUGCCGAAGUUAACUUCCUUUCUUGUUUGUACGUAAAACAACACGCAUGAAAAUUUACCAAGGCAAAUGUGCAUGCUGGGUACAUUCUAUUCCAGUGACGUCUAUAUAGGUUGUGAUAUAGUGGAUUUAGAUGCAUGCCAAGGCGGGAAUUCGGAAAGUAUUCCUAAAAAACAGCAACAGUAAAACAAUACGCAUGAAAACUAAUUAAGGCCUGAUGUGCGUGCAUUGUGCAUUCAAGUGCGGUGCCAUCUGGAUAUAUUUAAUAUAGCGCAUCCAAUUGUAUUUUACUGGGAUUGAAAAAAAAAGAAAAUUAAAACCCCAAGGUUGCAUAUUUGCAAACUGCCCAAACUGCUGACUCAGCCUCUGGCCGAAUGCCAAUGCACAGCCGGCAAACACAGCAUGUUUGUGUGGCCGUAACGAAGUUCAUUUUUGUUAGCUUUAUGUCAGUAUGAUUCUGAGCUGAAUUAAAUAAAGAACUCACUAAUGUCAAUACUCCGGCUUAGCCGUUGGUUAUCGUGCCUUAGGGGCCGCAGCAACAGAGUGGGGUGUGUCUGCUUUGGGAGGCGAUCAUUCCACAAUUAAAUAAUACCCUAGACAACAUAUCGAGCUCAACGAGGCCAACGACGAAUAACCCAUGUGAAGAAGCAAAGACGAAACUCUAGAAGGAAUACUAAUGAAAGACGAGAAGACCCAGAGAAAAGAGAAGACGACGAGUAACGACGGAUGAGUUAACUGUGAGCUUUUGACAAGUGCGGUUCGAAGACGUUGGCCGAAAGACGAAAAAGACGCCUAAAAUUCAAUUUAUCAAUGUUCAUUCCCAUAUCUUAUAUUUAACCAAAAUUAAAUAAUAAAUAAACUUAAAUACUUAA